GCCCCUGUAGCUCAGUAUGGAUAGAGCAAGGGAUUCCUAAUCCCUGUGCCGGGAGUUCGAGUCUCCCCAGGGGCA
rnacentral:tRNA from 2 species